AUUGAACGCUGGCGGCAUGCUUUACACAUGCAAGUCGAACGGUAACAGGGUGCUUGCACCGCUGACGAGUGGCGAACGGGUGAGUAAUGCGUCGGAACGUGCCGAGUAGUGGGGGAUAACGCAGCGAAAGUUGUGCUAAUACCGCAUACGUACUGAGGUAGAAAGUGGGGGACCUUCGGGCCUCACGCUAUUCGAGCGGCCGACGUCUGAUUAGCUAGUAGGUGAGGUAAAGGCUCACCUAGGCGACGAUCAGUAGCGGGUCUGAGAGGAUGAUCCGCAAAACAGGGACUGGGACACGGCCCAGACUCCUACGGGAGGGAGCAGUGGGGAAUUUUGGACAAUGGGCGAGAGCCUGAGCCAGCCAUGCCGCGUGUCUGAAGAAGGCCUUCGGGUUGUAAAGGACUUUUGUCAGGGAGGAAAUCCCUAGUGCUAAUAACACUGGGGGAUGACAGUACCUGAAGAAUAAGCACCGGCUAACUACGUGCCAGCCGCCGCCGUAA
rnacentral:rRNA from 1 species